CUGGCGGAAUUUGGAGAAUACUAGAGGAAACAACACUAUACAGAGUAUUUACUGCUACUAUACUGAAUUAAGUCAAGUCUGUAUGGAGCAUCUCUUCACCGGCAAUGACAUCACUGGCAUUGGUGGAAUACAAUGUCCUCCUCCUUAAGAAAAACUACUACACUCAACUACAUCUCAUCAGUCAUAAUUCAAUCAUCAACUCAUUUUAUUUAUUGGGGGCCCCUUCAUAUUUUCAUUUCUUUUUUCGUUUUCGUUGUUAUAAAUCAUAAAAGAAGAAAAAUGAUCAGGAGGAGUAGUCAGGCCACACCUACAAUGUACAUGUGACCACGCCUCUAAUGCAAGGCCACACCUACCUUUCCACACCUUCAUGUGAGCUGUGGGUGUGCCUAGUACUAUAUACACACAUGAUGCUUUGUCCCUGUAUAUAGACAGUACGUAUAACUAUACUCGAUUUCUAACCACCUGGAUUUAACAUAACCUUCAAACCAACUGGAAACUAACAGAACCUUCUAAUCAACUGGACUGGGAUAGCCUCAAUAGAUAUCCCAGAUGGUCCCAUGGGCGGAUGGGCGGGGGGCCAGCGAUGCAGUGCCACAUACUCGCGACGGUGCUGGCUGUCACACUGCAUGGAGGGAGGACUAUCUCUCUAUAGUGUGCAAGAGCACUGCAAACUGAACACACUUUUGUAAUUUCAAUUUCUCAAUGAUUUGCUAUAAUCAGAGAUACAAAA